CGGCUCCCCUUGUCCACCAGCCGCCACGUCCUGAAACCAAAAACUGACCGGGAUGAAUGCCUGGCUCCC
ensembl:misc_RNA